AAUAGAUACCCCGGUAGUCCUGGCCCUAAACGAUGAAUGCUUGGUGUGGCGGGUAUCGAUCCCUGCCAUGCCGUAGUUAACGCGAUAAGCAUUCCGCCUGGGGAGUACGGUCGCAAGGCUAAAACUCAAAGGAAUUGACAGGGGCCCGCACGAGCGGUGGAGCAUGUGGUUCAAUUCGAGGCAACGCGAAGAACCUUACCAGCCCUUGACAUGGCAGGACGGUGUCCAGAGAUGGGCUCCUUCCCUUCGGGGACCUGCACACAGGUGCUGCAUGGCUGUCGUCAGCUCGUGUCGUGAGAUGUUGGGUUAAGUCCCGCAACGAGCGCAACCCUUGCCCUUAGUUGCCAUCAUUCAGUUGGGCACUCUAGGGGGACUGCCGGUGAUAAGCCGAGAGGAAGGUGGGGAUGACGUCAAGUCCUCAUGGCCCUUACGGGCUGGGCUACACACGUGCUACAAUGGCGGUGACAGAGGGCAGCUACUCCGCAAGGGGAAGCGAAUCCCAAAAAGCCGUCUCAGUUCGGAUUGU
rnacentral:rRNA from 1 species